UACAGAGGUCUCAAGCGUUGUUCGGAUUCAUUGGGCGUAAAGGGUGCGUAGGCGGCGCGGUAAGUCGGGUGUGAAAUCUUGGAGCUUAACUCCGAAACUGCAUUCGAUACUGCCGUGCUUGAGGACUGGAGAGGAGACUGGAAUUCAUGGUGUAGCAGUGAAAUGCGUAGAGAUCAUGAGGAAGACCAGUGGCGAAGGCGGGUCUCUGGGCUGACACUGACGCUCAUGCACGAAAGCGUGGGGAGCAAACAGG
rnacentral:rRNA from 1 species